rnacentral:rRNA from 1 species
UACAUGGGGUGCAACCGUUGCUCGGAAUUAUUGGGCGUAAAGCGCACGUAGGCGGUUUGUUAAGUCGGAUGUGAAAUCCCUCGGCUCAACUGAGGAAGUGCAUCCGAAACUGGCAAGCUUGAGUACGAAAGAGGGUCGCGGAAUUCCCGGUGUAGAGGUGAAAUUCGUAGAUAUCAAGCGGAACACCGGUGGCGAAGGCGGCCUUCUGGACAGUGACUGACGCUGAGACGCGAAAGCGUGGGGAGCAAACAGG